AAUCUCGUCGGCGUCUCACGGUUCCAUGAAAUUCUCUUAGACAUUUUUAACGUUAUUGAAGUGUCUGUCCACAUGGUGUUACAAAAGACGAGAACAGUCAAGAUCCAUAUAAAAAAAGGAUUUCUGUCCAACACGACAGUGUCUCCUUUCAAGAAACUGUCCUUCGCGCAUCGUGAGUACAACGUUUCAGAAUCGUGCUGAAACAGGAUAAACCUCCGUCAAUUCCCCAGAAUAGUGAACCGACCGAGUGUCAGUGAACCAGGGUGAUCACUGGCUAAAUCUAAUAUAAGACAAGCAUCAAUUCCAGCAAUGUAUAUACGCAGUGCUGUGUAUAACCUAGCAUCGCACGAAUAAUUGUACAGUGGAUUUUCUCAAGACAGUUGGUAAAAGCCUGUGGUUCGUUAACUAUGCAUAUACGAAUCUUGUCUGCAGUAGAAAAGGCUGCAAAAUAGUGCAGAAAAUUACGAGAAAUUUUCCAUAUUGUAUCUCGAGAUAAAAUGUGCUCAGUGUAGUGUGUACGGGGGAACCUCAAUUCCAGUAGUACCAAUACGUACAAGCGUGCCUUAUGGAAGCUUCUACGUACAUACGGCGAACAGGAAGAAAGUGUCAAAAGCUGAACGGAGGAGAGCCAAGUAGAAGGUGAAGCCUAAGAGAGAAUACGAAAUGGAUGAGUUUGACAUCAAAAUAUGCGGAGCUAAGAAGUAAGACCUAUCGAAGCAUUAAGAGUGGGAUGUUAAUCGAGAUCGCUGUCUCUUUGAAGAAAGCUGCUAGAAAAUGUUCGUUGAACAAAUUUUAUAGGACAGUAAAAAUCUAACAGUUUGUAUUAGAUCUAAGAUCUAGUAAGCAUAUAACAAUAAUUUAUA